GAUGAAGAACGCAGCGAAAUGCGAUAAGUAAUGUGAAUUGCAGAAUUCAGUGAAUCAUCGAAUCUUUGAACGCACAUUGCGCCCGCCAGUAUUCUGGCGGGCAUGCCUGUUCGAGCGUCAUUUCAACCAUCAAGCCCCAGGCUUGUGUUGGGGACCUGCGGCUGCCGCAGGCCCUGAAAAACAGUGGCGGGCUCGCUAGUCACACCGAGCGUAGUAGCAUACACAUCGCUUAGGACGUGCUGCGGGUUCCGGCCGUUAAACCCCCCACUAUAGCAAGGUUGACCUCGGAUCAGGUAGGAAGACCCGCUGAACUUAAGCAUAUCAAUAAGCGGAGGA
rnacentral:misc_RNA from 1 species